rnacentral:rRNA from 1 species
UACAGAGGUCCCGAGCGUUGUUCGGAUUCACUGGGCGUAAAGGGUGCGUAGGUGGCCGGGUAAGUCUGACGUGAAAUCUCCAAGCUUAACUUGGAAACUGCGUCGGAUACUAUCCGGCUCGAGGAUCGGAGGGGAGACUGGAAUACUUGGUGUAGCAGUGAAAUGCGUAGAUAUCAAGUGGAACACCAGUGGCGAAGGCGAGUCUCUGGACGAUUCCUGACACUGAGGCACGAAAGCCAGGGGAGCAAACGGG